CUACGUGCCAGCAGCCGCGGUAAUACGGAGGAUACGAGCGUUAUCCGGAAUUAUUGGGUUUAAAGGGUGCGUAGGUGGCGUAUUAAGUCAGUGGUGAAAAGCUGCAGCUCAACUGUAGUCUUGCCGUUGAAACUGAUAUGCUAGAGAGGAGACGAGGUAUGCGGAAUGUGUGGUGUAGCGGUGAAAUGCAUAGAUAUCACACAGAACGCCGAUUGCGAAGGCAGCGUACCAGGCUCCGUCUGACACUGAAGCACGAAAGCGUGGGGAUCAAACAGGAUUAGAUACCCUGGUAGUCCACGCAGUAAACGAUGAAUACUAGAUUUUUGCGAUAUAGUGUAAGAGUCUAAGCGAAAGCGAUAAGUAUUCCACCUGGGGAGUACGCCGGCAACGGUGAAACUCAAAGGAAUUGACGGGGGCCCGCACAAGCGGAGGAACAUGUGGUUUAAUUCGAUGAUACGCGAGGAACCUUACCCGGGCUUGAA
rnacentral:rRNA from 1 species